UUUAAUUGAAGAGUUUGAUCAUGGCUCAGAUUGAACGCUGGCGGCAGGCCUAACACAUGCAAGUCGAGCGGUAACAGAGAGUAGCUUGCUACUCUGCUGACGAGCGGCGGACGGGUGAGUAAUGCUUGGGAAUAUGCCUUA
rnacentral:rRNA from 1 species